rnacentral:rRNA from 1 species
CCAGCACCCGCGGUAAUUCCAGCUCCAAUAGCGUAUAUUAAAGUUGUUGCAGUUAAAAAGCUCGUAGUUGGAUUUCUGGCGGGAGCAGCCAGUCCUGCCUCUUGCGAGGUUGUGCACUAGCGCUGUAUCCGGCCAUCCUUGUGGAGAACGUUUCUGGCAUUAAGUUGUUGGUCUCGGGAUCUGCAUCGUUUACUGUGAAAAAAUUAGAGUGUUUAAAGCAGGCAUUUGCUUGAAUACAUUAGCAUGGAAUAAUAAGAUAGGACUUUGGUGGUCUAUUUUGUUGGUUUGCACGCCAAAGUAAUGAUUAAUAGGGAUAGUUGGGGGUAUUCGUAUUCAAUUGUCAGAGGUGAAAUUCUUGGAUUUAUGGAAGACGAACUACUGCGAAAGCAUUUACCAAGGAUGUUUUCAU